GUACCUCUUCUAAAGAAAGUAGAACUGUGAGUUGGCCAGUGAACUCACAGGUUUAGGUAGUGUGGGAGAUGAGUGGCAAGGUUUUUGCUAACAUUCCACCCUGGCUCAGUGGGUAGAGUUUGAUAGUAAACUGUGCUACAAGU
rnacentral:snoRNA from 1 species